rnacentral:rRNA from 1 species
AGCGAACGCUGGCGGCAGGCCUAACACAUGCAAGUCGAACGAACCUUUCGGGGUUAGUGGCGGACGGGUGAGUAACACGUGGGAACGUGCCUUUAGGUUCGGAAUAACUCAGGGAAACUUGUGCUAAUACCGAAUGUGCCCUUCGGGGGAAAGAUUAAUCGCCUUUAGAGCGGCCCGCGUCUGAUUAGCUAGUUGGUUGAGGUAAUGGCUCACCAAGGCGACGAUCAGUAGCUGGUCUGAGAGGAUGAUCAGCCACAUUGGGACUGAGACACGGCCCAAACUCCUACGGGAGGCAGCAGUGGGGAAUCUUGCGCAAUGGGCGAAAGCCUGACGCAGCCAUGCCGCGUGAAUGAUGAAGGUCUUAGGAUUGAAAAAUUCUUUCACCGGGGACGAUAAUGACGGUACCCGGAGAAGAAGCCCCGGCUAACUUCGUG